rnacentral:rRNA from 1 species
UACGUAGGGUGCGAGCGUUGUCCGGAAUUAUUGGGCGUAAAGAGCUCGUAGGCGGUGUGUCGCGUCGGCCGUGAAAACCUGGGGCUUAACUCUGGGCGUGCGGUCGAUACGGGCAUCACUAGAGUUCGGCAGGGGAGACUGGAAUUCCUGGUGUAGCGGUGAAAUGCGCAGAUAUCAGGAGGAACACCGGUGGCGAAGGCGGGUCUCUGGGCCAUUACUGACACUGAGAAGCGAAAGCAUGGGGAGCGAACAGG